GUCAGUGUGAUUUGGAGAGGGGUGAAACUGUGUUUCUCUCAGAGAUGGACUCUACUGUGUAAACAUGACAAAAUUGAGCAUGUGCUGCCGUCUGGAACAAGCUUGCAUAUAGAGAAAGAGUAAGAGAUAUAUAAACAAUAUGCAGAUAUUCAUGAAUCCUCAAGAGAUAAAAAGAAAGACUACAAGUAAACAACUCGGAGGAAGCAGGACGUCAGUACUUGGAGGUUUGGGGCCAAAAUGGUCUGGAGAAACGUUUGGACCUUACAGCUCUAAAUAAACAUGGAAAAGUGUACGAAGAUGAUCAGUUUAGCUUGACAAUGAGAGACAGGAGAGUAUCACCUCAUCAGGGUCUGGAGCUCUACAGAGCACUCAAGAGCAGGAGCACACCUGUCAGGUUAUUGUGGUACAGUGAUGAGGGUCAUUCGCUGUCUAAAGUCAACACUCAGUCUGACUGCUUCCUCAACAUCGUUCUGUGGUUUAAAGAACAUUUAAACUGACACGACAUGAAUAUGAAAAUAUUUAUCAGAUGUUUUUUUGUCUGCACAUAUUGUGUUUGACAUUCUUGCCAAAACUGUAAAUGUCCAUAAAUGUUGCAGUGAAGCUGAAGUUACAGGUUAUGCAGGUCAUUCUCCACUAGGGGACAGACCUGUCCAUGUUAAAUCAGCACUGCUAUAAUAAGGGGCCA